rnacentral:rRNA from 1 species
CAUGCAAGUCGAGCGCCCCGCAAGGGGAGCGGCAGACGGGUGAGUAACGCGUGGGAAUCUACCCUUUUCUACGGAAUAACGCAGGGAAACUUGUGCUAAUACCGUAUGAGCCCUUCGGGGGAAAGAUUUAUCGGGAAAGGAUGAGCCCGCGUUGGAUUAGCUAGUUGGUGGGGUAAAGGCCUACCAAGGCGACGAUCCAUAGCUGGUCUGAGAGGAUGAUCAGCCACAUUGGGACUGAGACACGGCCCAAACUCCUACGGGAGGCAGCAGUGGGGAAUCUUGCACAAUGGGGGAAACCCUGAUGCAGCGACGCCGCGUGAGUGAUGAAGGCCUUAGGGUUGUAAAGCUCUUUCAGUGGGGAAGAUAAUGACGGUACCCACAGAAGAAGCCCCGGCUAACUUCGUGCCAGCAGCCGCGGUAAUACGAAGGGGGCUAGCGUUGUUCGGAUUUACUGGGCGUAAAGCGCACGUAGGCGGAUCGUUAAGUCGAGGGUGAAAUCCUGGAGCUCAACUCCAGAACUGCCUUCGGUACUGGCGAUCUAGAGUCCGGAAGANGUGAGUGGAACUCCCAGUGUANAGGUGAAAUUCGUAGAUAUUGGGAAGAACACCGGUGGCGAAAGGCGGCCAACUGGGACCACAACUGACGCUG